rnacentral:rRNA from 1 species
CAGCAGCCGCGGGAAUACGAAGGGGGCUAGCGUUGUUCGGAUUUACUGGGCGUAAAGGGUGCGUAGGCGGAUUGUUAAGUCAGGGGUGAAAUCCCGAGGCUCAACCUCGGAACUGCCUUUGAUACUGGCGAUCUUGAGUCCGGGAGAGGUGAGUGGAACUGCGAGUGUAGAGGUGAAAUGCGUAGAUAUUUGCAAGAACACCGGUGGCGAAGGCGGCUCACUGGCCCGGAACUGACGCUGAGGCACGAAAGCGUGGGGAGCAAACAGGAUUAGAUACCCGCGUAGUCCCUGUCUCUUAUAC